CCUACGGGAGGCAGCAGUGAGGAAUCUUGCACAAUGGGCGAAAGCCUGAUGCAGCGACGCCGCGUGAGGGACGAAGGCCUUCGGGUUGUAAACCUCUGUCAGUGGGGAAGAAGAUUGACGGUACCCACUGAGGAAGCUUCGGCUAACUACGUGCCAGCAGCCGCGGUAAUACGUAGGGAGCAAGCGUUGCCCGGAAUUACUGGGCGUAAAGAGCUCGUAGGCGGGGGCGUGCGUCCGAGAAGAAAUCUCAUGGCUCAACCAUGGGGCUAUCUCGGAUACGGCGCUUCUUGAGGGUGAGAGAGGAAAGCGGAAUUCCAGGUGUAKCGGUGAAAUGCGUAGAUAUCUGGAGGAACACCAGCGGCGAAGGCGGCUUUCUGGCUCAUUCCUGACGCUGAGGAGCGAAAGCGUGGGUAGCGAACGGGAUUAGAUAYCCCSGGUAGUCCACGCCGUAAACGAUGGAUACUAGGUGUAGGAGUAUCGACCCCUUCUGUGCCGGAGUAACACAUAAGUAUCCCGCGUGGGAGUACGGCCGCAAGGGCUGAAAACUYAAAGGAAUUGACGG
rnacentral:rRNA from 1 species